AGAGUUUGAUCAUGGCUCAGAGCGAACGUUAGCGGCGGGCCUAACACAUGCAAGUCGAGCGAGAAAGGGGCUUCGGCCCCGAGUACAGCGGCAGACGGGUGAGUAAUACGUAGGUAACCUUCCGUUUUGUGGGGGACAACGGUCCGAAAGGACCGCUAAUACCGCAUACGUCUCCUGGGACUUCGGUUCCGGGAGGGAAAGCCUCGCAAGGGGCGCAGAACGAGGGGCCUACGUCGCAUCAGCUAGUUGGUGGGGUAACGGCCUACCAAGGCGAAGACGCGUAGCUGGUCUGAGAGGAUGAUCAGCCACACUGGGACUGAGACACGGCCCAGACUCCUACGGGAGGCAGCAGUGGGGAAUAUUGGACAAUGGGCGCAAGCCUGAUCCAGCCACGCCGCGUGAGUGAUGAAGGCCUUCGGGUCGUAAAGCUCUGUGGGGAGGGACGAACGACCGGGUGAAGAGCCCGGGUUGACGGUACCUCCUUAGCAAGCACCGGCUAACUUCGUGCCAGCAGCCGCGGUA
rnacentral:rRNA from 1 species